AACGAACGCUGGCGGCAUGCCUAACACAUGCAAGUCGAACGAGACCUUCGGGUCUAGUGGCGCACGGGUGCGUAACGCGUGGGAACCUGCCCUUAGGUUCGGAAUAACUCAGAGAAAUUUGAGCUAAUACCGGAUAAUGUCUUCGGACCAAAGAUUUAUCGCCUUUGGAUGGGCCCGCGUAGGAUUAGCUUGUUGGUGGGGUAAUGGCCUACCAAGGCGACGAUCCUUAGCUGGUCUGAGAGGAUGAUCAGCCACACUGGGACUGAGACACGGCCCAGACUCCUACGGGAGGCAGCAGUGGGGAAUAUUGGACAAUGGGCGAAAGCCUGAUCCAGCAAUGCCGCGUGAGUGAUGAAGGCCUUAGGGUUGUAAAGCUCUUUUACCAGGGACGAUAAUGACAGUACCUGGAGAAUAAGCUCCGGCUAACUCCGUGCCAGCAGCCGCCGUAAGAC
rnacentral:rRNA from 1 species